rnacentral:rRNA from 1 species
GGGUUGUGAGGUUAAGCGACUAAGCGUACACGGUGGAUGCCCUGGCAGUCAGAGGCGAUGAAGGACGUGCUAAUCUGCGAUAAGCGUCGGUAAGGUGAUAUGAACCGUUAUAACCGGCGAUUUCCGAAUGGGGAAACCCAGUGUGUUUCGACACACUAUCAUUAACUGAAUCCAUAGGUUAAUGAGGCGAACCGGGGGAACUGAAACAUCUAAGUACCCCGAGGAAAAGAAAUCAACCGAGAUUCCCCCAGUAGCGGCGAGCGAACGGGGAGCAGCCCAGAGCCUGAAUCAGUGUGUGUGUUAGUGGAAGCGUCUGGAAAGGCGCGCGAUACAGGGUGACAGCCCCGUACACAAAAAUGCACAUAUUGUGAGCUCGAUGAGUAGGGCGGGACACGUGGUAUCCUGUCUGAAUAUGGGGGGACCAUCCUCCAAGGCUAAAUACUCCUGACUGACCGAUAGUGAACCAGUACCGUGAGGGAAAGGCGAAAAGAACCCCGGCGAGGGGAGUGAAAAAGAACCUGAAACCGUGUACGUACAAGCAGUGGGAGCACGCUUAGGCGUGUGACUGCGUACCUUUUGUAUAAUGGGUCAGCGACUUAUAUUCUGUAGCAAGGUUAACCGAAUAGGGGAGCCGAAGGGAAACCGAGUCUUAACUGGGCGUUAAGUUGCAGGGUAUAGACCCGAAACCCGGUGAUCUAGCCAUGGGCAGGUUGAAGGUUGGGUAACACUAACUGGAGGACCGAACCGACUAAUGUUGAAAAAUUAGCGGAUGACUUGUGGCUGGGGGUGAAAGGCCAAUCAAACCGGGAGAUAGCUGGUUCUCCCCGAAAGCUAUUUAGGUAGCGCCUCGUGAAUUCAUCUCCGGGGGUAGAGCACUGUUUCGGCAAGGGGGUCAUCCCGACUUACCAACCCGAUGCAAACUGCGAAUACCGGAGAAUGUUAUCACGGGAGACACACGGCGGGUGCUAACGUCCGUCGUGAAGAGGGAAACAACCCAGACCGCCAGCUAAGGUCCCAAAGUCAUGGUUAAGUGGGAAACGAUGUGGGAAGGCCCAGACAGCCAGGAUGUUGGCUUAGAAGCAGCCAUCAUUUAAAGAAAGCGUAAUAGCUCACUGGUCGAGUCGGCCUGCGCGGAAGAUGUAACGGGGCUAAACCAUGCACCGAAGCUGCGGCAGCGACGCUUAUGCGUUGUUGGGUAGGGGAGCGUUCUGUAAGCCUGCGAAGGUGUGCUGUGAGGCAUGCUGGAGGUAUCAGAAGUGCGAAUGCUGACAUAAGUAACGAUAAAGCGGGUGAAAAGCCCGCUCGCCGGAAGACCAAGGGUUCCUGUCCAACGUUAAUCGGGGCAGGGUGAGUCGACCCCUAAGGCGAGGCCGAAAGGCGUAGUCGAUGGGAAACAGGUUAAUAUUCCUGUACUUGGUGUUACUGCGAAGGGGGGACGGAGAAGGCUAUGUUGGCCGGGCGACGGUUGUCCCGGUUUAAGCGUGUAGGCUGGUUUUCCAGGCAAAUCCGGAAAAUCAAGGCUGAGGCGUGAUGACGAGGCACUACGGUGCUGAAGCAACAAAUGCCCUGCUUCCAGGAAAAGCCUCUAAGCAUCAGGUAACAUCAAAUCGUACCCCAAACCGACACAGGUGGUCAGGUAGAGAAUACCAAGGCGCUUGAGAGAACUCGGGUGAAGGAACUAGGCAAAAUGGUGCCGUAACUUCGGGAGAAGGCACGCUGAUAUGUAGGUGAAGUCCCUUGCGGAUGGAGCUGAAAUCAGUCGAAGAUACCAGCUGGCUGCAACUGUUUAUUAAAAACACAGCACUGUGCAAACACGAAAGUGGACGUAUACGGUGUGACGCCUGCCCGGUGCCGGAAGGUUAAUUGAUGGGGUUAGCGCAAGCGAAGCUCUUGAUCGAAGCCCCGGUAAACGGCGGCCGUAACUAUAACGGUCCUAAGGUAGCGAAAUUCCUUGUCGGGUAAGUUCCGACCUGCACGAAUGGCGUAAUGAUGGCCAGGCUGUCUCCACCCGAGACUCAGUGAAAUUGAACUCGCUGUGAAGAUGCAGUGUACCCGCGGCAAGACGGAAAGACCCCGUGAACCUUUACUAUAGCUUGACACUGAACAUUGAGCCUUGAUGUGUAGGAUAGGUGGGAGGCUUUGAAGUGUGGACGCCAGUCUGCAUGGAGCCGACCUUGAAAUACCACCCUUUAAUGUUUGAUGUUCUAACGUUGACCCGUGAUCCGGGUUGCGGACAGUGUCUGGUGGGUAGUUUGACUGGGGCGGUCUCCUCCUAAAGAGUAACGGAGGAGCACGAAGGUUGGCUAAUCCUGGUCGGACAUCAGGAGGUUAGUGCAAUGGCAUAAGCCAGCUUGACUGCGAGCGUGACGGCGCGAGCAGGUGCGAAAGCAGGUCAUAGUGAUCCGGUGGUUCUGAAUGGAAGGGCCAUCGCUCAACGGAUAAAAGGUACUCCGGGGAUAACAGGCUGAUACCGCCCAAGAGUUCAUAUCGACGGCGGUGUUUGGCACCUCGAUGUCGGCUCAUCACAUCCUGGGGCUGAAGUAGGUCCCAAGGGUAUGGCUGUUCGCCAUUUAAAGUGGUACGCGAGCUGGGUUUAGAACGUCGUGAGACAGUUCGGUCCCUAUCUGCCGUGGGCGCUGGAGAACUGAGGGGGGCUGCUCCUAGUACGAGAGGACCGGAGUGGACGCAUCACUGGUGUUCGGGUUGUCAUGCCAAUGGCACUGCCCGGUAGCUAAAUGCGGAAGAGAUAAGUGCUGAAAGCAUCUAAGCACGAAACUUGCCCCGAGAUGAGUUCUCCCUGACUCCUUGAGAGUCCUGAAGGAACGUUGAAGACGACGACGUUGAUAGGCCGGGUGUGUAAGCGCAGCGAUGCGUUGAGCUAACCGGUACUAAUGAACCGUGAGGCUUAACCUUACAACGCCGAAGCUGUU